rfam:Cyanothece sp. PCC 7424, complete genome.
CUUUCAACCCAUCCCACAUCGGGAGGGCUGUUGAAAC